ACUUAGAGAAAUUUUGCUGACAUAAACAAGGACAUCACAUCAGAAAUGAAAUACUAGGCACUUAAGAGACUAAUCUUCCACAAACCUGCAUGGACACCAUUGAAUGUACGUCAUAAGAGCAUGUCUACCGCAAGGAGAAUUAUUCCCAUUUCAAUUAGAUCUCAAGGCACACUGAAGGUGGCAGUACAAUGAAGAAAAGGAGCAAGAAACAUCACAUUCCUUCCUGAGUUCUGAUAGAUGAUUCCGGGUAUGCUCCGAGCACUCUGACAAGGUCCCAAUGUGCUGACCAGAGGCCACCUUUAUACAUACAGAAGUAAUACAUAUAUUAGGAAAUGCCACAUACAAAGUCCACUGAAGAAAUUUUCCAAUUUAAAUAUACAAGACAAAAUAAAAAAUCGUUCAUUUCUUGGCAUCCUGAGUCCCACA